rnacentral:lncRNA from 1 species
CAAAUGCCCCACAGAUGAGGGAGAGACUUUUCCGCCUCUCUCUUGCUGAAAUAGUUUGUCGCACCUGGACCAUUGGCCAUUGUCACGGCUCGGCCGCAGCAGCGCGGGCACGGCGCUACAAGAAAUCUUUGCAUUGCUAUUGGGAUCAGAGGUCACCGCUGCAGGGGACCAGGGCUGGUUUAUUAAACAGACAAGUCUGUUUAAGGUGUAAUUCCUCAGGAAGAGCAGUGUGCUUGUGGCCAUUUAAACGAGUUAACGGAGCGUGCCCGUUCAAGUCCGUCUGUGCUUUUCCCCAGGCACAAACCCCAGCUCGACGGGCGGGCGCCCAGGGUUGCUGUCGGCCGAGUCGCUCAGCCCCGCAGGUCCGUGACCUCUGGCUCCUGCCCAUGUCACAUCCCCGUCCUCCGGGUGGAAACUGCGGAAGAAAGUGCAGGAUACGCCUCGGUUUCGCUGACACCGCUCCAGCCGCGCUGGCUCCCGCACUGAAUCCUGGUAAAAUGCAGUAA